GGGUGUAUAACUCAACUGGAUAGAGUACCGGCCUCUUAAGCCGGAGGUUCAGGGUUCGAUGCCCUGUGCACCCACCA
rnacentral:tRNA from 1 species